rnacentral:rRNA from 1 species
UACAGAGGGUGCAAGCGUUGUUCGGAAUCAUUGGGCGUAAAGGGCGUGUAGGCGGUCUGUUAAGUCAUGUGUGAAAUCCCUCGGCUCAACCGGGGAACGACGCAUGAAACUGACAAGCUAGAGUACCAAAGAGGGGGGUGGAAUUCCUGGUGUAGCGGUGAAAUGCGCAGAUAUCAGGAGGAACACCAAUGGCGAAGGCAGCUCGCUGGGACGGUACUGACGCUGAGACGCGAAAGCGUGGGGAGCAAACAGG